UACGUAGGGUGCGAGCGUUGUCCGGAAUUAUUGGGCGUAAAGGGCUCGUAGGCGGUUUGUCGCGUCGGGAGUGAAAAUCCAGGGCUUAACUCUGGACUGGCUUCCGAUACGGGCAGACUAGAGGUAUGUAGGGGAGAACGGAAUUCCUGGUGUAGCGGUGAAAUGCGCAGAUAUCAGGAGGAACACCGGUGGCGAAGGCGGUUCUCUGGGCAUGAUCUGACGCUGAGGAGCGAAAGUGUGGGGAGCGAACAGG
rnacentral:rRNA from 1 species